GGCUGCUGAUUUAUUGGCCAGCCCAGUGUAUGGCUGGCAAGUUUCUCCUCAGACUCGGUUUCCACCCCCUAUCUGGUAAAAUAUAGAGGAUUUUUAUAACUAUGGACACCUCCUCCUCUAGACUAAACCUCUAGAGAACCAUUGUACAAACUGGGUGGAAGCAGAAAAGAGGCUGUCUGAGGAGAGGGGGCCUCUGAGACGAUAUCUCAGCUCUGUUAGUGAUUAAUCACCACCACCACCACCACCACCACCACCACCAUCAUCAUCACCACCAUCAUCAUCAUCACCACCACCACCACCAUCAUCAUCAUCGUGUUUGAGACAUGGUCUCAGUCCAGUCCAGACAGACCUCCAUCUGACUACUCUCCUGAAUGCCUAAGGCCCAGCAUACACCACUACCUUCCGGGCUCUCGUUCUGUAAGAGAUGAAGAAUGACAUGUGGUGAGACAUCCCUCACUGGAUAGAUGGAGGCUAGAGGCUCACAGGCAAAGGUCAUCUGUGGUUGCAGAUGUCUGUCCCUCAGCAGGAUUCACUCAGAUGUCCUUAAAGAUCCUCCAGACUAGGAAGAAGAUAAAGCUGAAACCAGAAGAAAGAGUUGCUAAUAGCCCAUGGAUGGACUAAUCCUUUAACCCUGGAGUCAUUCUGGGAGUGGAGAGCGGGGCAAAAUAAAGCAAAUAAUAAAAUACAGGAGGGCCCCUGGCCCGGGGCGGUGGGGGUGAUGGGAGUUGGAGUCACUCGCCUGUCAGGACCUAUAUCAACAUGUCAGCCACUUGGACAAACAAGCGUUUCGAGGGGAAAUAUUUCAGAUAAACAGACACGAUGUUAUGACAUAUCACCCCCCCCAACCCUGGAAGGGGGUCCUCGGAGACCAAGGAGAAGAAGAAAGGAAGCAACGCCAUGCGGAGAUCUGUUUUCCCUGGCUUGAGGCCCCGAGGGUCAGCUGUAAAUAAAAUAGGUUUUUGAUU
ensembl:antisense Tbx3os1 T-box 3, opposite strand 1